GACGAACGCUGGCGGCGUGCUUAACACAUGCAAGUCGAACGGAAAGGCCUGCUUUCCCUUGUGGAUUGCGGGUACUCGAGUGGCGAACGGGUGAGUAACACGUGAGUGAUCUGCCCCCAACUUGGGUAUAAGCCUGGGAAACUGGGUCUAAUUCCCGAUAGGACUGCAGGGUGGUGCCUGUGGUGGAAAACGAUUUUCUAGUGGUUGGGGAUGAGCUCGCGGCCUAUCAGCUUGUUGGUGGGGUAAUGGCCUACCAAGGCGGCGACGGGUAGCCGGCCUGGGAGGGUGGACGGCCACAUUGGGACUGAGAUACGGCCCAGACUCCUACGGGAGGCAGCAGUGGGGAAUAGUGCACAAUGGGCGGAAGCCUGAGGCAGCGACGCCGCGUGGGGGAUGACGGCCUUCGGGUUGUAAACUCCUUUCGACCGCGAGGAAGCCACCUGGUUGGAAGGGUGGUGACGGUAGUGGUAGAAGAAGCACCGGCUAACUACGUG
rnacentral:rRNA from 1 species